UCUAAAAUUUUCAAACAAAAUUGCACAACCUGGACUAUUUUGUGUUUUUCUUCCCUCAGAAGAUUAAAAAUAGUUGCAUUUCUGUGGAUAUGCUUUUCUGUUGUGGCAGUUUAAGAUACUCUGGGAUGGUAUUUUGUCAAGGAAUAAAGUGGCUUCAGAGAAUAGAGGAAAGAAGACUGCUAAAAGACCUGUCCUUUCUAAGAAAGCUGGGGUGCAUAAUUAUAUAGGUUUACCU
rnacentral:lncRNA from 1 species